GAGUGGUAGUUAUUUUAUGACAGAGUCAGGAGGGUGAAUGCUUUAACAAAAGCAAUUUAGAGGAUGGAUGGUUACUUCAUAAGUUCAAGAAGUUAUGAAAUAUGUCCUUUGUAAUCAUUGGUUCCCUGUUGUUUAUCUUUGUUCUCCAGUUCAUGAAUGACAUGAUCAUUAAAUGAUUGGUGUUAACUGUUGCAUCAUAAUUGGUUAUUUCAAAAGUUAGCAAGAUAUAUUGAUGCUAUGCUGUACCUAUGUGAGUUGUCAUUUUGAAUGCCUCCUGUGGACACAUACUGGCGUUUAACUGAGUGUGUGGUCUUUCCUUGUUAUGUAUUUACUGUGGACUUUGGUUAUAUAUUACUGGCUGUUGGUGUUCUUGAAGAAUGGAGACAGGAAUCGUUACUGGCAUUGCAUCUUAUUAUUAAUCCAAGCUUAAUAAUAUUUUUUGUGGGUAGCCUUCUCACAAGCUAUUUACAAUGUUAUACUAAAAAAUGUCCAGAUGUCCAGGUGUAAGAACGGUAAUUCACGAAUUGACACGACUACAUGACGAUGAUGCGUUACGGAAAAUAUUCGAAAGUAUAAAAUUAAGGAAAUUUGUAAAAUUUUACUGGCUAUAGUUGAAAUAAACAUCUCAAAAUAUCAUACAGGUAUACUAAAGGUUAGUAUUAAUACUGAACAUCAGUCAUCUACAAUUCAAGACCUACCGUAGGAUUAAAAUAGAAAGAUAUUGUAUAAAAUUCUGUUAUAAAGAUUCUGUAUUGAAGUGAAAAAAAAAAUUAUUUUUUGCUAAAA